rnacentral:rRNA from 1 species
UACGUAGGUCCCGAGCGUUGUCCGGAUUUAUUGGGUGUAAAGGGCGUGUAGGCGGAGACGCAAGUCAGGAGUGAAAUCCCCGGGCUCAACCCGGGAACUGCUUUUGAAACUGCGUCCCUUGAGUAUCGGAGAGGCAGGCGGAAUUCCUAGUGUAGCGGUGAAAUGCGUAGAUAUUAGGAGGAACACCAGUGGCGAAGGCGGCCUGCUGGACGACAACUGGCGCUGAGGCGCGAAAGCGUGGGGAGCAAACGGG